ensembl:lincRNA Gm15669 predicted gene 15669
AGUUCUUGAGGCAGCUAUUAUCGAAAAUAAUGGAUUUGGCACUUGUGAUGAUUCCUGAGGCUGAAUCUGGACUCAGCAAGAAAGAGUGCCAUGAUUGAUUAGCCAUGUCUGCCAUUAGCUCAAAACUAGGGACAGAUCCUGCCAGAUACUUGCUGACAACAGCUUAGAAGUUUCCCUUGGCCAUACAAACCUUCUUAAAGGACUGACAGUUAGCAGUAAUGGAAAAUUCAGAUGGAUUACUGAUGCCACCCCUGGAGAGGUUCCUGAAUUCUGCUCAACACAAAAUCACCAUGAUUGGUAAACACUUUAAUAAGCUCACUGAAGCUUAAUGACUUCAAUUGUUCCCAUCAUUGCAUAUGUCCCUAACAGCACUCUAAUUUCAUAACUUUUACAAUUGUAACAAAAAUAAUUAUUGUCAGUUUCAUGAUUGUGAGCUCUGCUGGGAGCAAAAACUAUGAGCAGACUAAGACCAAUCUACCUGCCUGCCAAUAUUUUGAAAGACUUAAAACUCUUCUCUAUAAAUUAG